rnacentral:antisense_RNA from 1 species
GAAGGAGGAAAGGAGUGAGCAUGUCCUGCUCCUGCACGUCCCUGCUUAAGCUCAGGACUGGCCCUUCCAGGCCAAGGACCCCAGCAUAGACCCCAGGACAGGGCCCCAAGGAUCCCUGGCUCAUGAGAGCGGUUUGCUGGGCUGCCCCAAGAGAGCCUGAAGGAAACACAUUGUUGAGCUGAGCUGACGUCGCUGUUUCUUCCAGACUGCUCUCUAAAGUGGGCAGGGUAGCGACCGGCCGGCUCCGAUGGUGACGUCCCACUGCCAAGGGGUGGGAGUGGGGAGAGUCUCCACAGAGCUUCGGAGAAGCUGCUAAGAUGGAAAAGUGGAAACUUGGCAGACAGAUCCAGCCUCCCUGGCCACUGGCCCAUGCUCGUGGCUCCUGGAUGGCGCUGCCACGUUCUGAGCAGCUUGGGACAGGUGGAGAUCAGGACUGGCAGCUGCAAGGACACACCAGAGCCACAGAAACUAAAGAGAAUUUCCAAAAGGAGUCUAUGGUGAAGUCUCUGAGGAUGCAAAGAAGACAAGGAGAAUGAAAAUCCAAUGAAAGCCUGAUUGUAUUUGUUGACCUUAAGGAAAGUGAUUUUAUAGUACAGCCUCUCUGGAAGGGAGGGUGUGUUCGCUCACAGAAUGCAAAUACCCUUUGACCCCGUAAUCUUUCUUCUAGGAGUUUCUCCUACAGAUAAACUUAGAAGGGUGCUCAAAUAAGUAAGUUCAAGGAUAUCCUCUGAAGCAUUGCUGUAGUAUAAAAAAAGCACAGAUAUCCUCAAAGGACAUCAUUAGGGGCCUGGUAAAAUAAAUUCCACACAGUGGAACACCGUGUAGCUCUUUAGAGAAUAAACAGCUCUCUAUAUGUGAUCUGGAA